UUAAGUGAAUAAGGGCGCACGGUGGAUGCCUUGGCACUAGGAGCCGAUGAAGGACGGGACUAACACCGAUAUGCUUUGGGGAGCUGUAAGUAAGCUAUGAUCCAGAGAUUUCCGAAUGGGGGAACCCAAUAUCUUUUAUAGGAUAUUACUUUUCAGUGAAUACAUAGCUGAUUAGAGGUAGACGCAGAGAACUGAAACAUCUUAGUACCUGCAGGAAGAGAAAGAAAAUUCGAUUCCCUGAGUAGCGGCGAGCGAAACGGGAAGAGCCCAAACCAACAAGCUUGCUUGUUGGGGUUGUAGGACUCCAAUAUGGUAGUCUGUUAGUAUAGUUGAAGGAUUUGGAAAAUUCCGCUAAAGAGGGUGAAAGCCCCGUAGACGAAAUGCUAACAACACCUAGGAGGAUCCUGAGUACGGCGGAACACGAGAAAUUCCGUCGGAAUCCGCGGGGACCAUCCCGCAAGGCUAAAUACUCCCUAGUGACCGAUAGUGAACCAGUACCGUGAGGGAAAGGUGAAAAGCACCCCGGAAGGGGAGUGAAAUAGAUCCUGAAACCGUGUGCCUACAACAAGUCAAAGCUCGUUAAUGAGUGAUGGCGUGCCUUUUGUAGAAUGAACCGGCGAGUUACGAUUGCAUGCGAGGUUAAGUCGAAGAGACGGAGCCGCAGCGAAAGCGAGUCUGAAUAGGGCGAAUGAGUAUGUAGUCGUAGACCCGAAACCAUGUGAUCUACCCAUGUCCAGGUUGAAGGUGCGGUAAAACGCACUGGAGGACCGAACCCACGUACGUUGAAAAGUGCGGGGAUGAGGUGUGGGUAGCGGAGAAAUUCCAAACGAACUUGGAGAUAGCUGGUUCUCUCCGAAAUAGCUUUAGGGCUAGCCUCGGAAUUGAGAAUGAUGGAGGUAGAGCACUGUUUGGACUAGGGGCCCAUCUCGGGUUACCGAAUUCAGAUAAACUCCGAAUGCCAUUCAUUUAUAUCCGGGAGUCAGACUGCGAGUGAUAAGAUCCGUAGUCGAAAGGGAAACAGCCCAGACCACCAGCUAAGGUCCCAAAAUAUAUGUUAAGUGGAAAAGGAUGUGGGGUUGCACAGACAACUAGGAUGUUGGCUUAGAAGCAGCCACCAUUUAAAGAGUGCGUAAUAGCUCACUAGUCGAGUGACCCUGCGCCGAAAAUGUACCGGGGCUAAACAUAUUACCGAAGCUGUGGACUACACCAUUAGGUGUAGUGGUAGGAGAGCGUUCUAAGGGCGUUGAAGGUCGAUCGUGAGGACGGCUGGAGCGCUUAGAAGUGAGAAUGCCGGUAUGAGUAGCGAAAGACAGGUGAGAAUCCUGUCCACCGUAUGACUAAGGUUUCCUGGGGAAGGCUCGUCCGCCCAGGGUUAGUCGGGACCUAAGCCGAGGCCGAUAGGCGUAGGCGAUGGACAACAGGUUGAUAUUCCUGUACCAGUUGUUUUUGUUUGAGCAAUGGAGGGACGCAGUAGGCUAAGGAAUGCAUGCGAUUGGAAGUGCAUGUCCAAGCAAUGAGUCUUGAGUAGAGUUAAAUGCUUUACUCUCUAAGGACAAGUUGUGACGGGGAGCGAAAUAAUAGUAGCGAAGUUCCUGAUGUCACACUGCCAAGAAAAGCUUCUAGUGAGAAAACAACUGCCCGUACCGUAAACCGACACAGGUAGUCGAGGAGAGUAUCCUAAGGUGAGCGAGCGAACUCUCGUUAAGGAACUCGGCAAAAUGACCCCGUAACUUCGGGAGAAGGGGUGCUGACUUCGGUCAGCCGCAGUGAAUAGGCCCAAGCGACUGUUUAUCAAAAACACAGGUCUCUGCAAAAUCGUAAGAUGAAGUAUAGGGGCUGACGCCUGCCCGGUGCUGGAAGGUUAAGAGGAUGGGUUAGCUUCGGCGAAGCUCAGAAUUGAAGCCCCAGUAAACGGCGGCCGUAACUAUAACGGUCCUAAGGUAGCGAAAUUCCUUGUCGGGUAAGUUCCGACCCGCACGAAAGGCGUAACGAUUUGGGCACUGUCUCAACGAGAGACUCGGUGAAAUUUUAGUACCUGUGAAGAUGCAGGUUACCCGCGACAGGACGGAAAGACCCCAUGGAGCUUUACUGUAGUUUGAUAUUGAGUGUUUGUACCACAUGUACAGGAUAGGUAGGAGCCGAUGAGACCGGAACGCUAGUUUCGGAGGAGGCGCUGGUGGGAUACUACCCUUGUGUUAUGAACCCUCUAACCCGCACCACUAAUCGUGGUGGGAGACAGUGUCAGAUGGGCAGUUUGACUGGGGCGGUCGCCUCCUAAAAGGUAACGGAGGCGCCCAAAGGUUCCCUCAGAACGGUCGGAAAUCGUUCGAAGAGUGCAAA
rnacentral:rRNA from 1 species